rnacentral:rRNA from 1 species
UACAGAGGUCCCAAGCGUUGUUCGGAUUCACUGGGCGUAAAGGGUGCGUAGGCGGUUUGAUAAGUCUGAUGUGAAAUCCCGCAGCUUAACUGCGGAACUGCAUUGGAAACUAUUUGACUAGAGGAAUGGAGGGGAGACUGGAAUACUUGGUGUAGCAGUGAAAUGCGUAGAUAUCAAGUGGAACACCAGUGGCGAAGGCGGCUCACUGGUCCGGUACUGACGCUGAGGUGCGAAAGCGUGGGGAGCAAACAGG